rnacentral:rRNA from 1 species
CUACGGGGUGCACCAGUGAGGAAUAUUGCACAAUGGGGGGAACCCUGAUGCAGCAACGCCGCGUGGAGGAUGACGCAUUUCGGUGUGUAAACUCCUUUUAUAUGUCAAGAAAAUGACGGUAGCAUAUGAAUAAGCACCGGCUAACUCCGUGCCAGCAGCCGCGGUAAUACGGAGGGUGCAAGCGUUACUCGGAAUCACUGGGCGUAAAGGACGCGUAGGCGGGUUGGAAAGUCAGGUGUGAAAUCCUACAGCUUAACUGUAGAACUGCACUUGAAACUUCUAAUCUAGAGUAUGGGAGGGGAGAUGGAAUUAGUGGUGUAGGGGUAAUAUCCGUAGAUAUCACUAGGAAUACCUAAAGCGAAGGCGAUCUCCUGGAACAUUACUGACGCUAAGGCGUGAAAGCGUGGGGAGCAAACAGGAUUAGAUACCCCAGUAGUC